rnacentral:rRNA from 1 species
ACAGCACAGCACAACCUCGACAGUGAAAAGAGAUGAAUCAAUGGCGGAGGUGAAAACCCAGACCCAGGAGCAGCAGCACCAUAGCUGUUGAGGGACAGGCAAGUGUCACCGCACUCCUCCCGCCCUCUUUAAACGCCACCCUCACCAACCACCCCCAACGCCAUUGCCGUUUUCACCCCCACCACCGAGCAAGGAUUCACCAUCCCCCUCCCCUUCCCCUCGCCCUCGCCCCAUCCCGCCUACUACCUUCCAUCCUGAUCUUCUUCUUCCCCACCCCCUUCCCCAGGCGGGCACAUUCCUCCUCCCCCAAAUCUUGGUGCUGAUCUAGCGCCGCUGCCCCCCACAUUAAUUGUCCUUCCCCCAUCUUGCUCCAUCCGCAUUGAUUCACGGGCAAGCAGACAGGGCGGCUUCUAGCUCUCGUCACCCCCGCAGAGUCCAAUCCUUCGGUCUUUGGGCCUCGUUGGUUCUUGAUCUGGGAGGGGAGGCGAGGUGAUCUGUGGCGGGCCGUGAUUUGAUCUGAAAGUUGUGAUUUUUUGGGGGGAGGGGUCGGAGGAUUUGUGUGUCGGGCCGUCAUGGGGACGGGGGCGGUGGCGCCGGAGCGGCCGAAGCAGCGGCGGGGGGGGCACCUGUGGAAGCGCGCGGUGCUCCACUUCUCGCUCUGCUUCGUCAUGGGCUUCUUCACCGGCUUCGCGCCCUCCUCCUCCUCCUCCUGGAGGCCCGGCGGCGGGGCCGGCACGCCGCCGCCGCUUCUCGCGGCGGAGCAGCUCGCCGCGUCCCGUGUCGCCGGCAGCAGGGACCAGCACAUCAGCCUGGCGCCGCCCUCGCCGGAGGGCGCGGCGGCGGCUGGCGGGGGCGGCGCGGUGGUCGACCUGGACGACGACGAGGAGAGCGGCCCGAGGAGGAUGCUGAUAGUGGUUACCACGACCAGGUCCGGGGCCGGGGAGCGGCGGCGCAGGCGGCCGGAGCUGCUGCGGCUCGCCCACACACUGCGCCUGGUGCGCCCCCCGGUCGUCUGGGUGGUGGUGGAGCCGGCGGCCGACGCGCCCGCCACGGCCGAGGUGCUCCGGGGCACCGGGGUCAUGUACCGGCACCUGGCCUUCCGCCCCGAGGAGAACUUCACCACCGCCGCCGCCGAGGCCCACGCGCAGCGCAACGCCGCGCUCGCGCACGUCGAGAAGCACCGUCUCUCCGGCGUCGUCCACUUCGCCGACGCCGCCGGCGUCUACGACACCCACUUCUUCGAGGAGAUCCGCCAGAUCGAGGCGUUUGGGACAUGGCCAGUGGCAACAAUGUCCGCGGGCGAGAAGAAAGUAGUGGUUGAGGGCCCACUGUGCAGCGCCUCGAAGGUAGUCGGCUGGUUCUCGAGGAACUUCAAUGAUGGUACCACCCGUUCAGUGACAUAUAACACUGAGGUUGACUUGAAUCCUGCCGGUGCUGCUGGCACGCGAGCCCACACGAUCGAUGUAUCAGGGUUUGCGUUCAACAGUUCUAUUUUGUGGGACCCUGAGCGAUGGGGACGACCGACGUCAUUACCGGACACUUCACAGGACUCGAUCAAGUUUGUGCAAGAGGUGGUGCUGGAGGACAGGACAAAGCUGAAGGGGAUCCCCUCCGACUGCUCCCAGAUCAUGGUGUGGCAGUAUGAUGUGCCCAGUAGCCCCAACACUCCGAAAACCAAAACCAAAACCGCCACCCCGAAAACCCACCAUAGAAGAAGGUAGGGAGGAGGGGGAUGAGACUGAACAGGAGAAAAAUCUUCCGCGGAGAAGAAGAACAGUGUUGGGAGUGGAGUUGAUGUAAGUAAAUGUGGCGACAACAAAAAAGGAGAAAGGAAGAAGGUUGCUGCUUACACUGAGUUUUUCUUUUUCUUUUUUUUCUUUCUCUCAAUUUUGUCCUUUUUCCCCUUGGGGGUCAUGAAUUGUCCUCUGGAAAUGGAAAUCGACCCCCGGGCAAUAGUAUUAUUUAUUCAGAUUAUUUUACCUGUGAUUCUUUAACCCCGACCGCCCCUCCUUCCUCGCUCCUCUGGGUGAUCUCGCGGAUUCUCCGUUUGUGGAGCGCAAUAAUAAGCUGUGUAGAAAGUGUGGGAGAUCUGGCAGAUGAAAUGAUGAUGAAUUCACAGCAUGGUUUUCCAGCAAAUUUCAGCAUAAAUGAACUGUUUCACGUGUUUUUUUUUGUUUCUUUGCUGUUGUUCAGAAUUGCUGUAAAAUCCAGAAUGAUUUAGUUUCCUGUU